rnacentral:lncRNA from 1 species
AAAACACUCCGUCUCUAAACCCUUCUCUUGUACGUUUACGGCCAACCCUAUCUCUCGCGUGCCUCAGGGUUCUGUCACCCCUUUGUUCUUUCGAGAACUCCUCUGAGGUUACCCCUACCUGCUCCAAAAUUCUCGAUCUACUCUCGCAUUGUCCCUUGCUAUUUUCA